CUUAGCCACAGACCACCAGGGAAGUCCCCUCUACUUGUUUCUUGAUAAAGGGCCCACCUGUGCCUUUAAAACAUUGCUUGUUUUGUCCAUAUUUUAAUGCUGUAGUUAAGAACAUGAACUCUGAAAUCUGAUGCUGGUGUUUGAAUCCUGGCUCAGUUCCUUUCUGGCCGUGUGAUCCUGGAAUUAAUCGAGGCUCCAGGCUGACUUCCAGCUAUGUAGAGUCGCUUCAGUCGUGUCCGACUCUGUGAGACCCCUUAGACGGCAGCCCACCAGGCCCCGGCGUCCCUGGGAUUCUCCAGGCAAGAACACGAGUGGGUUGCCACUUCCUCCUCCAAUGCAUGAAAGUAAAAAGUGAAAGUGAAGUCGCUCAUUCGUGUCCGACUCUUAGCGACCCCAUGGACUGCAGCCUACCAGGCUCCUCUGUCCAUGGGAUUUUCCAGGCAAGAGUACUGGAGUGGGGUGCCAUUGCCUUCUCCCAACAUGAAGAAUAAUUAAG
ensembl:lncRNA